rnacentral:rRNA from 1 species
CGCACGGGUGAGUAACACGUAUCCAACCUGCCGUCUACUCUUGGCCAGCCUUCUGAAAGGAAGAUUAAUCCAGGAUGGGAUCAUGAGUUCACAUGUCCGCAUGAUUAAAGGUAUUUUCCGGUAGACGAUGGGGAUGCGUUCCAUUAGAUAGUAGGCGGGGUAACGGCCCACCUAGUCAACGAUGGAUAGGGGUUCUGAGAGGAAGGUCCCCCACAUUGGAACUGAGACACGGUCCAAACUCCUACGGGAGGCAGCAGUGAGGAAUAUUGGUCAAUGGGCGAUGGCCUGAACCAGCCAAGUAGCGUGAAGGAUGACUGCCCUAUGGGUUGUAAACUUCUUUUAUAAAGGAAUAAAGUCGGGUAUGCAUACCCGUUUGCAUGUACUUUAUGAAUAAGGAUCGGCUAACUCCGUGCCAGCAGCCGCGGUAAUACGGAGGAUCCGAGCGUUAUCCGGAUUUAUUGGGUUUAAAGGGAGCGUAGAUGGAUGUUUAAGUCAGUUGUGAAAGUUUGCGGCUCAACCGUAAAAUUGCAGUUGAUACUGGAUGUCUUGAGUGCAGUUGAGGCAGGCGGAAUUCGUGGUGUAGCGGUGAAAUGCUUAGAUAUCACGAAGAACUCCGAUUGCGAAGGCAGCCUGCUAAGCUGCAACUGACAUUGAGGCUCGAAAGUGUGGGUAUCAAACAGGAUUAGAUACCCUGGUAGUCCACACGGUAAACGAUGAAUACUCGCUGUUUGCGAUAUACGGCAAGCGGCCAAGCGAAAGCGUUAAGUAUUCCACCUGGGGAGUACGCCGGCAACGGUGAAACUCAAAGGAAUUGACGGGGGCCCGCACAAGCGGAGGAACAUGUGGUUUAAUUCGAUGAUACGCGAGGAACCUUACCCGGGCUUAAAUUGCACUCGAAUGAUCCGGAAACGGUUCAGCUAGCAAUAGCGAGUGUGAAGGUGCUGCAUGGUUGUCGUCAGCUCGUGCCGUGAGGUGUCGGCUUAAGUGCCAUAACGAGCGCAACCCUUGUUGUCAGUUACUAACAGGUGAUGCUGAGGACUCUGACAAGACUGCCAUCGUAAGAUGUGAGGAAGG